rnacentral:tRNA from 1 species
AGAUCUGCGGGCCAUUAACCCACAUCUUCUGAAAUGCAACUCAGACUCUUUAAUUAAGAUAAGAUCUUCUA